rfam:Trichobilharzia regenti genome assembly, scaffold: TRE_contig0003526
GCACUGCUGAAAAAUCCCAAACUAGGACGAAACAGCUGUCCAGUAC